CUAGCGGCAGACGGGUGAGUAACAUGUGGGAAUCUGCCUUUUGGUUCGGAACAACACGGGGAAACCUGUGCUAAUACCGGAUAAGCCCUUACGGGGAAAGUUUUAAUGCCAAAAGAUGAGCCCGCACUUGAUUAGCUAGUUGGUAAGGUAAAAGCUUACCAAGGCGACAAUCAAUAGCUGAUUUGAGAGGAUGAUCAGCCACAUGGGGACUGAGACACGGCCCUAACACC
rnacentral:rRNA from 1 species